AGCGAACGCUGGCGGCAGACUUAACACAUGCAAGUCGAGCGGGCACCUUUCGGGGUGUCAGCGGCGGACGGGUGAGUAACGCGUGGGAACGUGCCCUCUGGUUCGGAAUAACUCAGGGAAACUUGAGCUAAUACCGGAUACGCCCUUUUGGGGAAAGGCUUGCUGCCGGAGGAUCGGCCCGCGUCUGAUUAGCUAGUUGGUGAGGUAACGGCUCACCAAGGCGACGAUCAGUAGCUGGUCUGAGAGGAUGAUCAGCCACACUGGGACUGAGACACGGCCCAGACUCCUACGGGAGGCAGCAGUGGGGAAUAUUGGACAAUGGGCGCAAGCCUGAUCCAGCCAUGCCGCGUGAGUGAUGAAGGCCUUAGGGUUGUAAAGCUCUUUUAUCCGGGACGAUAAUGACGGUACCGGAGGAAUAAGCCCCGGCUAACUUCGUG
rnacentral:rRNA from 1 species